rnacentral:rRNA from 1 species
UACAGAGGGUGCGAGCGUUAAUCGGAAUUACUGGGCGUAAAGCGUGCGUAGACGGUAGCGUAAGUCGGGUGUGAAAGCCCCGGGCUCAACCUGGGAAUUGCAUUCGAGACUGCUCUGCUAGGGUGCGGAAGAGGGGAGCGGAAUUUCCGGUGUAGCAGGUGAAAUGCGUAGAUAUCGGAAGGAACACCAGUGGCGAAAGCGGCUCCCUGGUCCAGCACCGACGUCAGGCACGAAGCGUAGGGGAGCAAACAGG